UAAAUGCUCAAGGAAUCUGAAAAAUAAAUAGUAGAACUUCUAUGAAGGUGAGAAGUCACAGAACAAACCUGAGAAUGCCAGCGGUAUGGAGGAAUGAAAUGGAAGGAGAGAUUGUCAGGAGAAGAAUGGUUGGCAGUUGGAGAAACAGAAGUCCAGCAUUUGUAGAUCCCUUCCUCAAGUGCACAGAGCUCGGCUUCUAAAUGAAACCCUGAGCCAUACAAGUCACAGACGGGGAGUAUGGUGGAUGGAUAUAUCCAUGGGGUAUGGAGUUUGCUCUUCUACAAAAGAGUUAAAUACAGUUGUAAUUGAGUGAACUAAUUGAUUCAAACAAAAUUAUUUGCCAGGCAGUUUUAAAACCAGAAAACAGUUAAAAUGCGAACCACAGAAGGAAGACAACUUCAAAGGUUAAU